GUGUCAGCCGCCGCGGUAAUACGUAGGUGGCGAGCGUUGUCCGGAAUUACUGGGUGUAAAGGGCGUGUAGGCGGGUUGUCAAGUCAGAUGUGAAAUUCCAGGGCUCAACUCUGGAGCUGCAUCUGAAACUGAUGAUCUUGAGUACUGGAGAGGGAAGCGGAAUUCCUAGUGUAGCGGUGAAAUGCGUAGAUAUUAGGAGGAACACCAGUGGCGAAGGCGGCUUUCUGGACAGUAACUGACGCUGAGGCGCGAAAGCGUGGGGAGCGAACAGGAUUAGAUACCCUGGUAGUCCACGCCGUAAACGAUGGAUACUAGGUGUGAGGGGGAUUACCUCUUCGUGCCGCAGUUAACACAAUAAGUAUCCCACCUGGGGAGUACGGCCGCAAGGUUGAAACUUAAAUGAAUUGACGG
rnacentral:rRNA from 1 species